CCACAAUGGGGGGUCGAAAUUUACAUAGGAAUAUACAGAGUAAAUCUUUAAAAAUCUUCUUCUCAGAAACUAAUCAGCCAGAUGAUUCUUUAUAAUUGUUAAGACUUUGGCCCCAGAUGAAAAUUCUUUGGCCUCACGAGAAGGUUCAGAGUUUGAUGUACGUUUAUAUCCCAUAUAUAAACUAUUGUUAAGGAUCUUUUUGAGAACUGCAAUACUCAACAUAUGAUAUGACUAUAAAAUCAUCCUGUUAGAAAAGGGACUAAUGAUUAUAAACAUAAGAAUAUCCAGAGAAAAAAUGGAUUUUAUUUAUACAGGAUCUACAUGUAUUUUGUACAUUGUCCAGAUAGUUUGUAUUAUGACUCCAUUAAGCUGAUUUUAUCAUACCUAUUGUUACUCAGGUGAGCGAUGUGGCCCAUGGGCCUCUUGUUAUGAUGAUUCAUGCGGGUAGCAAUCAUUGCAUAAAAAAAGUACAUAACACGCCAACGCGGGUUAUGUAUUUAUUGCAAUGUCGCUACCUUCAUAUCCCGAAUGAAUCACCAAAGAAAGCAUUUCAUUGUUUAAAUAAACUUUAAAA
rnacentral:sRNA from 1 species